rnacentral:rRNA from 1 species
AGUAAUACAUCGGAACGUACCCAGUAGUGGGGGAUAGCUCGGCGAAAGCCGGAUUAAUACCGCAUACGACCUAUGGGUGAAAGCGGGGGAUCGCAAGACCUCGCGCUAUUGGAGCGGCCGAUGUCGGAUUAGCUAGUUGGUGAGGUAAAGGCUCACCAAGGCUACGAUCCGUAGCUGGUCUGAGAGGACGACCAGCCACACUGGGACUGAGGCACGGCCCAG